AUCCUCGUCCAGGGCGCAGCUGUCUGACUCCUCACAGGACAGGUCCUCCUGGCAGGCGAGGUGGUCGUCGAAGGAAGGGGGAAGAGGCUCAGGGACCGGGGUCCCAGCGGGGGUCCUGCCCCCUGGGCCGGAGGCUGAGAGCAGGGCGGUCCAGGCCCUGGUGUUGCUGACGUGGCGGGCGAAGGGGCUCUGGGGACCGCAGUCCUCUGUCCCUGCGCUCAGGCAGCUGAGGCUGCUGAAGGUCUGACAGUUCUGUGGAGGGGCAGACACACAGGUUACUAAGGGUUACUCCCCUCCCGCAGCCCCAGGACUGCACACCCCACAAAGCAACUAGACCACCAGGCUGUGGCAAGACCAAUCAAGUCCCGGGUUCCUCCUAUCCAGGCAAGGACGGGCCCAUGAGCAACGUACUCAUGAAGAUGCACCUCCGGCCAAUGAGCGCUCUGUGCUCAUAAAGACACGCGCAAUUCCACUAUUCACCUACUAACUCGGCAAAGCACACAAAUUUGAUGCAGACCCAGUUCUGGGGGGCUGCGGUGAAACAGGAAUGCUCCUAACACUUCGUCCACAGCCUUUCUGAAGCGCAACCUGGGGAAAAUAUAUCCAAUUCCUUGAUCAGGUAAUUUCACUACUUGGAUUUUUAUCUUAAGAAAACAUUCUAAGAUGUGUGUAAAAAUUUGGCAACAUACCGUUAAAUGGAAAAGAAGAGAGUAACCCAAACACCCUA
ensembl:lncRNA novel transcript, antisense to FAM53B